AGAGUUUGAUCCUGGCUCAGAUUGAACGCUGGCGGCAUGCUUUACACAUGCAAGUCGAGCGGCAGCGCGGGGGCAACCCUGGCGGCGAGCGGCGAACGGGUGAGUAAUACAUCGGAACGUGUCCCGUAGUGGGGGAUAACCCGGCGAAAGCCGGACUAAUACCGCAUAUGCUCUACGGAGGAAAGUGGGGGACCCGCAAGGGCCUCACGCCAUGGGAGCGGCCGAUGUCCGAUUAGCUUGUUGGUGAGGUAAAGGCUUACCAAGGCGACGAUCGGUAGCUGGUCUGAGAGGAUGAUCAGCCACACUGGGACUGAGACACGGCCCAGACUCCUACGGGAGGCAGCAGUGGGGAAUUUUGGACAAUGGGGGCAACCCUGAUCCAGCCAUGCCGCGUGCGGGAAGAAGGCCUUCGGGUUGUAAACCGCUUUUGUCCGGGAAGAAAAGGCACCCCCUAAUACGGGAUGCUCUUGACGGUACUGGAAGAAUAAGCACCGGCUAACUACGUGCCAGCAGCCGCGGUA
rnacentral:rRNA from 1 species